rnacentral:lncRNA from 1 species
GUCGCAAAGAACAAUACAUUCAUGAAGGAACCUCAUCAUUACCGUCUCCGCCCUUCUUUUAUCAGCUUCCCACCCGUUCCCCAAACUCUGUACACUGCGCAUGAACGUCUGGUAAUCUCGCGAAAUCUGUCACUUAUGCCCCCGAAGCGAUGGUUGAUAUUUUAUUCCUCAAUUUCAGAGAAUAUUUCCCCUCUGCUGGGUGUAGAUUACAGUGGCGAAUCAAUACGUGCUGGGCGUGAAGUCAUAAGGCAGAAAAGAGGACAAAAGAUUUCAAACGGACAUGCCGUGAAUCAUGAAACACAUGGAAAGUUUGUGCACUGGUCACCCCUCACUCAACCUGGUCCCGGCCAGUGAAUGAAUCACAUGAAUAAGGAUCGGCUGGCUGCUACCUGAAGCUGACAGUGAUGUGCCAUGUCACCAUCACCGGAUGUGCUGCUCCCAGGAAUGAAAGAGAGAGAGGGAGAAAGAGAGAGAGAAAGAGAAAGAAAGAGAAGGCACCCGUAUGAACCUGGGCUCCCUUUUCCUUUCUCUGCACUCUUCUUUCAUCCCCCUCUCCAUCUCUCUCUGUUUCUCUCAUGCCUGCUUUACCUGCUCUGCCAUCACGCCACACGGGUGACCUGCAGUGCCUAGCGUGCUCUUUCAUGUCUCGUGAUGUGGCACACUCGUAUAUUAUUCAUAGCAAGCGAGGGAGGAACCGGGCAUGGGCAGGCACAAAUAAUAAGACUCUGUAAAUGGGAGAAGGUAAUGAUUCUGCUGGUGAAGGUACACACACACACACAC